UACGAAGGGUGCAAACGUUUGCUCGGAAUUAUUGGGCGUAAAGCGCACGUAGGCGGCUUUGUAAGUCUGAUGUGAAAGCCCACGGCUCAACCGUGGAGGGUCAUUGGAAACUGGGGGACUUGAGUACAGAAGAGAAGAGUGGAAUUCCACGUGUAAGCGGUGAAAUGCGUAGAGAUGUGGAGGAACACCGAUGGCGAAGGCAGCCCCUGGGUCAAGAUUGACGCCUCGAUGCACGAA
rnacentral:rRNA from 1 species